rnacentral:rRNA from 1 species
AAUAUGUGGCAUACGGCUCAGUAACACGUAGUCAACAUGCCCAGGGGACGUGGAUAACCUCGGGAAACUGAGGAUAAACCGCGAUAGGUCAUCACUUCUGGAAUGGGUAAUGACUUAAAUCUACAUGGCCCCUGGAUUGGACUGCGGCCGAUCAGGCUGUUGGUGAGGUAAUGGCCCACCAAACCUGUAACCGGUACGGGCUCUGAGAGGAGGAGCCCGGAGAUGGGCACUGAGACAAGGGCCCAGGCCCUAUGGGGCGCAGCAGGCGCGAAACCUCUGCAAUAGGCGAAAGCUUGACAGGGUUACUCUGAGUGAUUUCCGUUAAGGAGAUCUUUUGGCACCUCUAAAAAUGGUGCAGAAUAAGGGGUGGGCAAGUCUGGUGUCAGCCGCCGCGGUAAUACCAGCACCCCGAGUGGUCGGGACGUUUAUUGGGCCUAAAGCAUCCGUAGCCGGUUCUACAAGUCUUCCGUUAAAUCCACCUGCUUAACAGAUGGGCUGCGGAAGAUACUAUAGAGCUAGGAGGCGGGAGAGGCAAGCGGUACUCGAUGGGUAGGGGUAAAAUCCGUUGAUCCAUUGAAGACCACCAGUGGCGAAGGCGGCUUGCCAGAACGCGCUCGACGGUGAGGGAUGAAAGCUGGGGGAGCAAACCGGAUUAGAUACCCGGGUAGUCCCAGCUGUAAAC